rnacentral:rRNA from 1 species
AGCGAACGCUGGCGGCAGGCCUAACACAUGCAAGUCGAACGAAGUCUUCGGACUUAGUGGCGGACGGGUGAGUAACACGUGGGAACGUACCUUUUGGUUCGGAACAACUCAGGGAAACUUGAGCUAAUACCGGAUGAGCCCUUAGGGGGAAAGAUUUAUCGCCGAAAGAGCGGCCCGCGUUAGAUUAGCUAGUUGAUGAGGUAAAGGCUCACCAAGGCUACGAUCUAUAGCUGGUCUGAGAGGAUGAUCAGCCACACUGGGACUGAGACACGGCCCAGACUCCUACGGGAGGCAGCAGUGGGGAAUCUUGCGCAAUGGGCGAAAGCCUGACGCAGCCAUGCCGCGUGAAUGAUGAAGGUCUUAGGGUUGUAAAAUUCUUUUACCAGGGACGAUAAUGACGGUACCUGGAGAAAAAGCCCCGGCUAACUUCGUGCCAGCCGCCGCAGUAACAC